rnacentral:misc_RNA from 1 species
UUUCCGUAGGUGAACCUGCGGAAGGAUCAUUCAUAAUAAAGUGUCUUAUGGCACUUUUUAAAAAUCCAUAUCCACCUUGUGUGCAAUGUUAGAUCUCGUCAAUCUUGGCGAGAUUUUUAUACAUCAACUCAUUCUUUAACUAAUUUGUCUGAAAAAUAUUAUGAAUACUUAAUUCAAAAUACAACUUUCAACAACGGAUCUCUUGGCUCUC